GAUGAACGCUAGCGGCAGGCCUAACACAUGCAAGUCGAACGGUAACAGGAAUUAGCUUGCUAAUUUGCUGACGAGUGGCGCACGGGUGCGUAACGCGUAUACAAUCUACCUUUUGCUGAGGGAUAGCCCAGAGAAAUUUGGAUUAAUACCUCAUGGUAUUAUUGAUAGGCAUCUAUUAAUAAUUAAAGGUUACGGCAAAAGAUGAGUAUGCGUCCCAUUAGCUAGUUGGCGAGGUAACGGCUCACCAAGGCAACGAUGGGUAGGGGUCCUGAGAGGGAGAUCCCCCACACUGGUACUGAGACACGGACCAGACUCCUACGGGAGGCAGCAGUGAGGAAUAUUGGACAAUGGGCGAGAGCCUGAUCCAGCCAUGCCGCGUGCAGGAAGACUGCCCUAUGGGUUGUAAACUGCUUUUAUACAGGAAGAAUAAGCCUUACGUGUAAGGUGAUGACGGUACUGUAAGAAUAAGGACCGGCUAACUCCG
rnacentral:rRNA from 1 species